rnacentral:rRNA from 1 species
GGGGGGGGCAAGCGUUGUUCGGAAUUACUGGGCGUAAAGGGCUCGUAGGCGGCCAACUAAGUCGGACGUGAAAUCCCUCGGCUUAACCGGGGAACUGCGUCCGAUACUGGAUGGCUUGAGUUUGGGAGAGGGAUGCGGAAUUCCAGGUGUAGCGGUGAAAUGCGUAGAUAUCUGGAGGAACACCGGUGGCGAAGGCGGCAUCCUGGACCAACACUGACGCUGAUGAGCGAAAGCCAGGGGAGCAAACGGGAUUAGAUACCCCGGUAGUCCUGGCCCUAAACGAUGAAUGCUUGGUGUGACGGGUAUCGAUCCCUGUCGUGCCGAAGCUAACGCAUUAAGCAUUCCGCCUGGGGAGUACGGUCGCAAGGCUG